CCAGAGAUCCAAACCGUUCGCAUGGUUCCUUGAAGCAGCCUGUGCUCAUGCGCUUCUCCCAGGGAGAAGGCGGAAUGGCAGUGACUGGCCACGUUAAGCCACAGGGUGCACACUCUGCAGCUGUCAAGCCCAGCUCUGCGUCAGCUCACACCUGCGAUUUUGCGCCGCACACGCGGAUUUGAGUUGUCGCUGGUUGUCGCAGCGUUUGGCUUUGGUGGAGCAGCGUGCAAAGGAAAAGCAAGGAAGGAGGUGAACCCGUGAGGAAGAGUGAUGGAUAAAGAGGGUUGGAGCGCACCUGCCAGUCAAGAGGGAUCAAGAAAGAAGACACCGGUGGUGGAACCGCAGGUCAGGAGAGCUCAAGGAGGGAGAAAGGUUCAGAGCCCAAGCCUCAUUUGGUUGUAUCUGUAAACAUCAAACAUCUCAGCACGAAUCACAACUGCAUUUCUCACAGACAGAAGUGCCUGAACUCCACAGCUUGCCUGGCAGUGCAGAGAGCAGGAAGUGUGGUGAGUCCUGGGCCCUUGGGGACAUUUCACCCUGUUUUGUGUCCCAGUCCCUCCCUGCUCCCUCCUCUUUCCUACUGUGCCCUUCUUCCUCUUCAUCUCUUCUCCCUCUGUCCCUCUGCUGCUUCCUCACCUAUUCCUCCACCCUUCUGAAUCUCUGUGCAGGGUU